CCCUACGGGGUGCAGCAGGCGCGAAACCUCCGCAAUGCACGCAAGUGUGACGGGGGGACUCCGAGUGUUUUCUCGUAAAGAGAAAACUUUUUCCAAGUGUAAAUAGCUUGGCGAAUAAGAGCUGGGUAAGACGGGUGCCAGCCGCCGCGGUAAUACCCGCAGCUCGAGUGGUCUGGAGUAUUAUUGGGUCUAAAGCGUUCGUAGCCGGACCUGCAAGUUCUCUGUGAAAUCCGCCAGCUUAACUGUCGGGCGUGCAGGGGAUACUACAGGUCUUGGGACCGGGAUGGGCUGAGGGUACUCUCGGGGUAGGGGUGAAAUCCUAUAAUCCUGAGGGGACCACCUGUGGCUAAGGCGCUCAGCUAAAACGGGUCCGACGGUGAGGAACGAAAGCGUGGGGAGCGAAUGGGAUUAGAUACCCCAGUAGUCCACGCCGUAAAUGCUGCAAACUAGGUGUUGCAUGCCCCUCGUGGGUAUGCAGUGCCGAAGGGAAGCCGUUAAGUUUGCCACCUGGGAAGUACGGUCGCAAGGCUGAAACUUAAAGGAAUUGGCGGGGGAGCAC
rnacentral:rRNA from 1 species